rnacentral:rRNA from 1 species
GAUGAACGCUGGCGGCGUGCCUAAUACAUGCAAGUCGAGCGAACGGACGAGAAGCUUGCUUCUCUGAUGUUAGCGGCGGACGGGUGAGUAACACGUGGAUAACCUACCUAUAAGACUGGGAUACUUCGGGAAACCGGAGCUAAUACCGGAUAAUAUUUUGAACCGCAUGGUUCAAAAGUGAAAGACGGUCUUGCUGUCCCCUAUAGAUGGAUCCGCGCUGCAUUAGCUAGUUGGUAAGGUAACGGCUUAACAAGGCAACGAUGCAUAGCCGACCUGAGAGGGUGAUCGGCCACACUGGAACUGAGACACGGUCCGGACUCCUACGGGAGGCAGCAGUAGGGAAUCUUCCGCAAUGGGCGAAAGCCUGACGGAGCAACGCCGCGUGAGUGAUGAAGGUCUUCGGAUCGUAAAACUCUGUUAUUAGGGAAGAACAUAUGUGUAAGUAACUGUGCACAUCUUGACGGUACCUAAUCAGAAAGCCACGGCUAACUACGUG